CCUGCGUUGGCACCCACGGCAGACGCUCCUGGCAGGAUGCUGGCAAGCAUGAGAACUGCUCCCUCCUGCGUUUUCUGGCGCCAUGGGGGGAACUGCAGUCUUCCUGGGAAAUGACUAAAGAAACCAAUCUUUCCAAAGAACACACUUCGGGCUAUUAUGACUUCUACCUAAGACCUGACUGCUGAGAGAAGGCAAAGAAAUCCAGAAACAGAGAGAAGAGGGAAGGAAGCCAUGAUUGGGAUGGACCUGGUGUCUCAGCACUCUGUCUGGCUUUUACUUUUCGUUAUCUGUUUCUUCUAAUGUAUUUCAUUUGGGCCUACUCGGACCCACUGAUUUCUUUUUCCUCCAUUCAAAAAGUAGCAACAGAGAAUAAACAU